UCAAGUAGUCUUUUAAAUGUA
rnacentral:piRNA from 1 species